UUACGGCCAUAUCACAUUCAAACACCAGUUCUCAUAUGUUUACUGAAGUUAAGCAACAUUGAGCCUGGUCAGUACCUAGAUGGGUGACCACUUUUGGAUUGUCAGGUGUUGUAAG